CCGGACGCUGAGUUUUCUGCUAGUCCCUAAGUGUCACCUGAGUUGCUGACACCGCUGCCUGGGUCCAAGUAAAACAGGACUGGGCCUUGCGAAUGCCCCAGAUAGUCACGGAAUGGGAAGGGACUGAGUCCCCAGCUUGUUGGCAUGACACUGCAGAUUCUUUUGUCCUCUGCCCUUCUCCUAAACGUGGAGAAAACUGGGAAAGGUCUUGAACUUGGCAGUAACAAACCCCACGCACCACCAGGCCUGUCGUCUAGCCCUGAGUUCCUGAGUAGGAAGAGUUAACUGGACCAACCAAGAUGUACCCCUCAGAGAAAAUAAAAGGCUAGUUUCAGAAGUGUGUGACCUAUCGUUCCAGUUUCUUGUUUUUUUGUUUUGUUUUUUGUGUAUCUUUGUGAACAUUUUUUAAAAUUAGGGAAAAUAGUAAAACAGCUUUGAUUUGUUUUCUCUGAAGGAUUUUCAGUUCCUUUUUCUUUUUUUUAGUUUUAGAAAAUUAUUUGAAGUUUUUACAAGGCAUACAUAUUUUUACCUUAUUCACCUUCAAAAUGUCAGUGAUGAUGCCCACCUUGCAAAGUCAUAAUGAAGAUUUAAUAAAAUAAUGCAUGAAGAGGUUGGCGUUGGUGACCCAUACCUUUGAUCCCAGCCCUCAGGAGGCAGAGGCAGGCAACUACUAGUUGAAGGCCAGCCUGGUCUACAGAGUGAGUUCCAGGACAGCCAGAGCUGCAACAGAGAAAUCCUGUCUCAAAAUAUAAAUAAAUAAAUAAUUUUUAAAAAGAUAGUGCAUGAGGCCUGGUGGUAUGUACUCUGGAGGCAGAGCCAGGCAGAUCUCUGUGAAGUUUGAGGCCAGCCAGGCUACAUAGUAAGACCCUUUCUUAAAAAAAAAAAAAAAAAAAAAAAAAAAAAGAGUGCUGGGUGUCUUCUAUCCAUCUCCACUUACUGCUUUUGAGGCAGGGUCUGUCCCUGGAACUGGGGCUCUCAUUUUCCUGGCUAGACCAGAAGCCAGCAAACAUCAGCAAUCCUGCUGUCUCUUCCUGCCUCAGAUCUGAAGUCACAGUUAUUUAUAGGGACAUCCAGCUUGUUGCAUGGGUUCUGGGACCCAAACUCUAGUCUUCAUGAUUGUGGAAGAAGCACUCUCAACAGCUGU
rnacentral:lncRNA from 1 species